UUUAUUUUCCUUUUAUUUGAU
rnacentral:piRNA from 1 species